AUUGAACGCUGGCGGCAUGCCUAACACAUGCAAGUCGAACGGCAGCACGGCAGUAGCAAUACUGUGGGUGGCGAGUGGCGGACGGGUGAGGAAUACGUCGGAAUCUGCCCAAUCGUGGGGGAUAACUAACCGAAAGGUUAGCUAAUACCGCAUACGACCGAGAGGUGAAAGCGGGGGACCGCAAGGCCUCGCGCGAUUGGAUGAGCCGACGUCGGAUUAGCUUGUUGGUGGGGUAAAGGCCUACCAAGGCAACGAUCCGUAGCUGGUCUGAGAGGAUGAUCAGCCACACUGGAACUGAGACACGGUCCAGACUCCUACGGGAGGCAGCAGUGGGGAAUAUUGGACAAUGGGCGGAAGCCUGAUCCAGCAAUGCCGCGUGUGUGAAGAAGGCC
rnacentral:rRNA from 1 species